rnacentral:lncRNA from 1 species
AGAUCAUGUCGAAGAGAUUUCCGUACAACGGCAUUAACUAGAUCUAUCAUCCAGCAACUCAAAGCAAGAAGCUACUUACUGACAGAAUCAAGGAACCUGCUGGACGAGGCCUUGUGUGACUCUACCCAGGCUUGUCCUUCUGAAGUCUGGCUCUGGGCACCUAGCAAGCGAGGACGCAUCCUUGCAGACACUUCCUGGACCCAACGGACCCAACAAUGAGAGUCACACGGUGUCUCUAAUUUGUCCUGGGGGCUGGCAAAGAGCGAGAAGUGGGACUCUUGUACCAGAAGAGGUGAAGGGCAGUAACAACUGAGGCCCUGCUUACGGAGGGAACUGCACUGCACCUCCCGGAGUCUGCCUUUUUCCGGAAGUCCAGGAUACCAGGCCGAAGCAGUAGGAUACAGGAGCUGCCAGAAGCAAAGAUCAGCAAGGCUAUAAAAGGACAAACAACCCAAGGCAAUCACCCUACAGAUGCUUAUCACAUCAGACCAACCAGCAAUCACAAAUUCAUAUUCAGAGAGAAGCCAAGAGACUACUCCUUAAUUCUCUAGGCAUGAAUACUGGAGUGGGUUUCCAUGCACUCCUCCAGAGGAUCUUCCUCACCCAGGGAUGGAUCCCAUGUCUCUUAUGUCUGCUGAAUUGGCAGGUGGGUUCUUCACCACUAGUGCCACUUGGGAAAGCUCUUAUUAUUUAUUAAACCUGCAAAAAUUCAUUUCAAAGGAUCAA